ACGAACGCUGGCGGCGUGCCUAAUACAUGCAAGUCGAACGCAUCCUUCGGGGUGAGUGGCGCACGGCUGAGUAACACGUGGGAAUCUGUCGUUUAGUGGGGGAUAACGCAUCGAAAGAUACGCUAAUCCCGCAUACGCUCCGCAAGGAGGAAAGGCGCAAGUCGCUAAACGAGGAGCCUGCGGCCCAUCAGGUAGUUGGAGAGGUAAAGGCUCACCAAGCCAAUGACGGGUAGCUGGUCUGUGAGGACAACCAGCCAGACUGGGACUGAGAACGGCCCAGACUCCUACGGGAGGCAGCAGUAAGGAAUUUUCGCAAUGGGGGAAACCCUGAACGAGCAACGCC
rnacentral:rRNA from 1 species